GGUGGGCCAGUCUCGGCUCAAAAUGCCCAGGGCGAUUGUUUGUCCCUGUCUAGCCCUGUAACCUACUGCUUAGCUAAAAUGAAAGGUUUUCAUGCCAGCGACUGAGCCAGUCGGAGAUCAGGGCUGGUCGAUGCAUCUAUUUAUCAGAGCCAGAGAGACAAGGGGACAAACAAGGAGAAAACGACUGUAAAGAGUCAGAAAAAAGAGAAGGGUCUGUCUGGUAGUAAAUAUGCCAUGUUUGUGUGUACACAGACUUUUCACACAAUUCAGUGAACGAAACUAAAUAGGUUAACGCUCCAGAUACUUGAGUCAGCCAGUGUGUAAUAUGUGAGAAAUAUGCAGAGGUACAUUUUCUUGUGAUGAAUCUCAGCAUCACUCUUAUGCCCGGGCUUUAUUUUAAGCUUAUUUGUUAUUAUGUAGGUAUAAAACGCAUUUAAUUUUAAACCUUCA